GUGCACAAUCCCGCCACUGUUCAUGAUUUUCAACAUCGUCGGUGAAUGUCCGAGCAGGAAGCUGUGGACGGAAAAAAACAAAAGUGUGAAAAAGAACAACAACAAAACGAAAACAGAGACGCAUCAGCCAUGUGAGGGAGCCAGCUUACCUUGUGGCCCACAGUCUUGUGCCUGGUCGGGAAGCCUGUCCCCAAACUGAGCAAGGACCAAAUGACGAGCAGCAUCUGAACCCUCCACGCCGCCUCCUGACGCAUCUUCUCGCUUGAGUUACUGGACGACAACUUACUGUGUUCAGCAUCUCUCUGGUAUGGGCGGCCGAAACGCAGAAACGCGCCCUGGACUCGAUGAUGGGUGUUGCUGGGAAGCCGACGACCACUGUGCCGAUGUUUCUCUUUAACAUC